rnacentral:pre_miRNA from 1 species
CUUCCCUUCUCCCCCCCCUUUCAAAAUUCUAGAUCUGCCUAUGGGCAUGGGUAGUACUAGGAUUUUGGAAAGGGGGUGGGAGGGCAC